ACGUCGUCGUCCUUUCGCCUUCGCCGCGACUCCCCCUUUGCACCACCGUUUCUCUUCCACUUUGCCUUUUUGUUUGGCCCUUCCCCGUCUCCGGUGCGGGGUGUGGAAAGAAGGACUCUCUGCGGGUGAAAGCCGUGCGCACUUGAAGCUUCUUUCGGACGUGGCACUAGUCCUUCCAAAGCCGCGAGAAGAGAGAAACGAUGCCUCCUUUAUUAACGGAGGUGAAGCCGGCGGCUCACCGCCCUCAGUUCCGCGUCUGCUAUCUGUGCGGUCAGCAGUUCGGUAGCGCCUCCAUUGGCAUUCAUGUCCCCCAGUGCUACCAGAAGAAGCUCAGUCAGUGGGAAGUGACUGACCCGGCUGUCCGAGGCCCAAAGCCCAAGCACCCCGACACGGUCAAGUGGAAAGGCGGCAACGGUGCCUCGGUUGAGGCCAUCAAUAAAGAACAAUAUCAAGAGUUCAACUCCCAGCUAGUUGCGUGUCCGCACUGCGCCCGCACAUUUCUGCCAGACCGGCUGCCCGUGCACCUGCGCGGCUGCAAAGGUGAUGGCAAGGUUGGCGUCCCACCCUCCAAAAUGAAGGCGGACGGGGGUGGGGGUAGCACACCAGGAGGCGGCAAACCCAAGAGCGAGCCGCGGCGCGCGGCCGGACGCCGGUCGCUCUCCCCCGGCCCCCCGCUUCUCCCGACGUGUUACUUGUGCGGGCAGCAGUUCGGCACCGCCUCCAUCGGGAUCCACGUGCCGCAGUGCUACGAAAAGAAGCUGGCACAGUGGCAGAACGCCGACCCACGCUCGCGUGGCCACCCUCCAAAGCACCCCGACACGGUGAAUUGGCGCGGCCGCCCCGGCGCCUCACCGCGCGAGCAGGCCGAGGAGCAGUUCCAGGAGUUCAUGAACAACCUAGAGGAGUGCCCCAACUGCAGUCGCAGAUUCUUGCCAGAUCGGCUAGUGGUGCACUUGCGCUCAUGCCGCCCCGACAAUCCACCCAAGCCAACCUCUCCACGCAAGGCAAAGGCGGCUGGGGGCGCCAGAUGUCCAACGUCCACAACGGCGACGACACCAGCGGAGACUGCCGCCCCAAAGGCCAGCGUCGGUGAUCAGACACCGCGCAGUGAGAAGCAGCAGCAGAAGCAAGACCCGCCGACCUCCUCCGCCGGCGAGGACUGGAUUCACCCGAAGCGCAACCGGCUCACUCGCCACUCCACCCUCCCCGCUGAGAGCCGCGUGUGUCCGCAGUGCGAUGCAGUGGAGUACGACGCCGAUGCGAAGUUCUGUCGCGAUUGCGGUCACAGCUUCGUGUCCAAGCAGCUCUCCAGCCCGUGCCAGCACUGUGGGGAGCGCAUCCCGCAUGGCUCGCGGUUUUGCGGAACGUGCGGGCAGCCCGUUCAAGGCGCGUCGGCGCAUGAGCGUACCCCAGGCGGGCCGAACAAGCACGCGUCAACGGUGCGCAGCGUCGUGUGCCCGGCGUGCGAGGCGAUCAGCGACGCCGACGGCAACUUUUGCGACAACUGCGGCGCCGCGCUUGGCGAUGCCGAUCUCACCCCAGCCCCUGCAGCAGCAGGAGCAGCUGCUACGCCUCCUUCCUUCCGUGCGGGAGGUUCUACUGAGCACAAGGCGGUGCUUUAUUGCGCCAAGUGCAACGAAACUGUGGAGGACACAACGGCUGUUUUUUGCGAGGACUGCGGAGGGCGACUAGAGGCACUGAAGGUGCCCACCACAAAAGACGGUGGUCCGCCUCGUCGUGCUGACGGCACACUACCGCCAUCCCAUGUUGCACGCCUGAGGGCCGCGAUGACAAGCAGGCCACAGCAGCCCUCUGCGAGCGAACCAGCCAAAACCACCACAGCGCCGGUGGCCAGCUCUGCCGCUCCGGCACGACCCGCGACGCGCAGCGCCUGCCCCCCUACAGAAGAACACACUGAUGAUGAGUCCCGCGCAUACGCUGAAGAUGACCUGGAGCGGGUGCCGUGCAGUCACUGUGGUCGCCGGUUUGCCUCCGAGUCUCUGGCAAAGCAUGAGCGCAUCUGCGGCUCGCAGAAGAAGCGGCGCGUCUUCAAUGCAACAAAGCAGCGGCUGCCAGAGGGGGCCAUUGCCGCAGCGAAGCCCUCUGCCGGGUCGCAGCCGACUGCCCCGAAGCGCGAUUGGAAGGCGGAGAGUGAAUCGUUUCGCCGCGCGCUGCGCGAGGCUCGGCAGGUGGAUCAAGUCUUGAAAGCAGGCGGAACCGCCAAGGACUUGCCACCACCAACGUACUCGACGAAUCCCGAUUACGUGCCCUGUCCCCAUUGCCAGCGCCGCUUUGCGCCCGACGUCGCGGCGCGUCAUAUUCCGCGAUGUGCGAACACAGUGAACCGCCCAAAGCCACCCCCACGCCGUCGUUGAGAGGCCCCCUCCCUCCUCCCUCCCCCCCCCACACAGGCAUUUCACCGGGCGCACUUCUGUGCAGCUCUCUUCUUUGCGCUCUUGAGGGUAUGCCCUCUUUUUCACCCAUGUAGACUACAGUGUUUCUCCAUUGAUCAUGCUUGUACAGUUUACUGUUUCCUUUUGUUUCAUGGCUUCACUAAUAAGCAUGCGUGUGCGUCUCUUUCUUGUUCUCCGUUUGCUCUUCUUGGCGGCAGCCGUGCCACAACAGAAGAACACCGACGCUCGGCUCACAAGACGACAGUUGACCAUCGCCACCCCGUUUCCGCAGAGGCACCUGUCCGUACUUCGGCUUCCGGCAGCGGCAAGAUGACGUGCUGCCAACGACACAGCUAGCGCUGCGGCAGCCACGCACCCGACCGCGGUUGCGAUGAGGGCGUUCUGCCUGGUGUGUGGUGCGCGGUAUGCUACGCAAGAGUCGCGGAUCGCUCAGCGUGGGUGUCGCAACCCACGUCGUUCCUCACACCAUGGCUCUGCACGCAGUGUUGUGACUACGCACAUCUCUCGCGCGCUGCGCGGGCUUCCCGGGCUUCCCGGGCUUCCCGGGUUGUGUGUCUAGGGCUGCCCCCCGCCCCCACCCCCACCCCCUGUACGCCCUCACAAGGACAAGGUGUGAGCUCUCUGUGUGCAGGCGCAUGUCUAUCCGCGGUUCCCUUCCGCUUGGCACGCGCACCCCUGCGAGUGGCGUGCGGGAGCUCAGAGGAAGGCAGAAUGCCCCAUGCCGCCACCGACGCAUAACGGCGGCCCCACCUGUCGCAGCGCAUGCGAGCACGCUAUCCAGAGACGCCCCGUCCAUGGCAUUGACAGAAGCUGCAAGAUGACGGCAGCGAGCCCCCGAGGCAACAGCGCCGUCCUGAAUCAGGCGCCAAUAUGCGAGAAUGCGGGCACCGCGCACACGUGCGGCUAGCCGUAGCUGGCACGGUGUGCCACAUCCCGAGCAAAGCAGGCAGAGGCCAGCAGCGCAAGAGCGAUGACCGAGGAGGGCGCGAAGAGAUCUAUACCGAUCAGCGCCACGGCGCAUGUGUGUGCGAGGCAUGCGGCGCCCCCCCUGAGUCUGACCGCGUAGGCUCAUGAGGCGCAGAUGCCGGAAGCACGACGAGAGCAGUCCGAUAGGCACCAUCGAGUCCUCUGGACUUCUGCGUGAAGAGCCCCCCCACGCGAGAUGAUGGAGCGCCGCGGCUUGAGGCGACCGGGGGCGAAGCAUGGUAUACAGGCCGUGCACGGGGCUUCGGGGGGGGGGGCUGUAACCUGGGGUUGCGCAACAUCCCCCCUGCACUCAUGCGGCAUGUGCAUGGGCGCCGCCCUGCUACCCGCACAACUGGCGCCACCGGCCUCCGCGCUCAAGCGCAGGACCCUGGACGCGGCCCGCUGUGAAUCAAGGCAUGCUGUCCGCCCGAGUCCCCUCUGACGCUGAUCGCGCCGCAAGCAACGAGAGGAACGGACGAGGAAGGACAGGAGGAACCCGCUCGACGGCCAGGACUUGGCCGCAGUGCAGCACCGGUACAUGAGCUAUGAUUGCUUGCACAUAUAUCCCGACGUGUUGCUCACUCAAUGGUGCCAUUGAAAACUAAGUGAUUUCUCUGCGGUAGCGCAGCGUUGCUCCUUCUCCGCAAGGUAUACACCGGCUUGCAGCUAAUCCAUAACUUGUUUCUAGCGCACGCUACAGAGAGGGAGGGCUCGCCAACAGUGCGGAAACUGCUGCUGAACAUGACAGCUGUGAGCCUCCCUUUCCUCUCGACAAAAAAAAAGAUGCUCGGAUGUGUUC
rnacentral:misc_RNA from 1 species